rnacentral:lncRNA from 1 species
AGUGCCUGAACAGUGCUCAGAGACAGAGAGGAACCACAAAAGAGAAAACACACACACACACCAUACCAACACACACCACACCAUACACAUUCACACACACACACUACACACAACACACACCACACCACACACAUUCAUACACACACACAUACCAUGCCAUACACACACACCACAUCACCUACAUUCAUACACACACAUACACAGACACCAACACACACACAAUACCAUACAAACACAUAUAUACAUACUACACACAUAUAUACACAACACAGACGUACACAUACACCAUACCAUACCAUACAUGCACGUAUAUACACAAAGCACAGGCAUACACAUACACACACACACACACACACACAGACACACACACACACACACACAGACACACACACAGACACACACACAUCUGAAAAAUGAUAGCCAGGCCCCACAAACCCUGAUAACAUGACAUUCUACUUAUUAAAAACAUCAGUCUUGGAAGACUCCAGGCACAGUAAUUUUGAAAAUAUACACAAGUAAAUUAAAACCAGGCUUAUGAUUCUUCUUAUUGUAAGCCGUUCGCCCAGAUUGCUCUGCAAAACAGAUGCAAAUUUUUAAAUUAAAAGAGAAUAAAGAGCAAUGUGAGCACUGCUGAUUUUAAGGGAGGAGCCCCAUGUUUUUUCCUUUUUAAUUGGAAUGUAAUCUGAAAGCCUUUUGGAGCAUGGGAAAAAAAAACAUGUUUUUAUAGGAAAAUUAGUUACAGAAUAAAAAGAGUAAAUAUUAAAUCUGUAGCUAGAAAGCAUUCGUGAACAUUUUCUGUAAUUUAUCUGACUCAUUGGUAGCUGUCACUGUAGGACAUUUCUGUUUAUCUCUGGACACAGCCCUUCCGGUUAUGUAAGUAGCAGAAUCUAACGCCUGGAGAACUGGACAAAGAGCCCCAGCGUCUACAACCAAACAACCUGUGACUCGUUCUUUCUCAGUGCCCGCGUUUAUAAAACAAACAAUAUUAAACAUUGUUCGCAGGCUCAAAAUUCCAAAUGAGCUAAAGCAUCAGAAUUAUCUAAGUGGAGAGCCCCAUUUAACUGGCAUGGUUUCUGCCCGGUCCUUACAAUGGGCCCCAAGAAUCCGGUAGGGCCAGGUCAUGCAAGAGAGCCAGAGAGCCAGCUUAAUUAUUCCUUUAAACCUGCCUUGGUUACUCACGUAGCAGAGGUUCCCAGCCUGUUGCUUUGUCAGGUGAGCUGAGUGGGUGCUGGUGCACUCGUGAGGGCUGGCGUGACUCCUGGGGGCAAGGGCUGGCUCAGAGACACAGCGCCCCGUGCUACUGUCACAACUUUGGACUCCAGCUCAGGAUUGUAUUCAUUCGUUUGAGGGUUAAGAGGAAUUUGCACCAUUUCAAACUUCUUUGAAGGGUUAAGGUUUAGUUUGUUGAACUCAUGAGCACCACAGCAUCAACUCCCUAUUCCUGGAGUUUUUUUUUUUUUUUUUUUUUUUGUUUUUUUGUUUUUUUUUAUGAGGGAUACAAGAAAAUACAGAGAUGUAUCAUUUCUAUUACUCCCGCUGUCGACUCACCCCUUCCCCGACCCCCGGCCCCUUCCAGCAAACACACAGCACACAUGUUACUCAAUCAAGCUUUGUCUGAAGCAGUGAGGGAGCACAGAUCUGAAAACCCACCGGCAAGCUUUCCCAAGUUUCCUUGCAGUUUUUUAAAGUAGACUGAAACACGGGAUGAAUACAAGGAACAAUAACUAAUGCUUGGAUUUUAGACUCAGCGAUAACGGAACGGAAGAUUUGCUGUGCACCUCAAGGCAAGUGUACUCGGAAGCCACACAUUUGCCUGAGUGACGAGCAGACCUACAGUCAUUCUGGUAUCUCUGCCUAUAUAACGAGUGACUCUAAGGAGAGAAUUAAAAGGAAAGGUUGAGUCCCCACCAGGAAGCAUCCUGCCCAAACUCCA